rnacentral:rRNA from 1 species
GACGAACGCUGGCGGCGUGCUUAACACAUGCAAGUCGAGCGGUAAGGCCCUUUCGGGGGGUACACGAGCGGCGAACGGGUGAGUAACACGUGGGUGACCUGCCCUUAGCUCUGGGAUAAGCCUGGGAAACUGGGUCUAAUACCGGAUAUGACUCCAUGACGCAUGUUGUGGGGUGGAAAGCCUUGUGCGGCUAGGGAUGGGCCCGCGGCCUAUCAGCUUGUUGGUGGGGUGAUGGCCACCAAGGCGACGACGGGUAGCCGGCCUGAGAGGGCGACCGGCCACACUGGGACUGAGACACGGCCCAGACUCCUACGGGAGGCAGCAGUGGGGAAUCUUGCGCAAUGGGCGAAAGCCUGACGCAGCG